GGGCCCGCACAAGCGGUGGAGUAUGUGGUUUAAUUCGAUGCAACGCGAAGAACCUUACCAGGGUUUGACAUCCUGCGAAUUUCUGGGAAACCGGAAAGUGCCUUCGGGAGCGCAGUGACAGGUGGUGCAUGGCUGUCGUCAGCUCGUGUCGUGAGAUGUUGGGUUAAGUCCCGCAACGAGCGCAACCCACGUCUUUAGUUGCCAGCAUUUAGUUGGGCACUCUAGAGAGACCGCCGGUGAUAAACCGGAGGAAGGUGUGGAUGACGUCAAGUCAUCAUGCCCCUUACAUCCUGGGCUACACACGUACUACAAUGCUACGGACAAAGGGCAGCAAGUUCGCGAGGACAAGCAAA
rnacentral:rRNA from 1 species